rnacentral:sRNA from 1 species
AUAGUUUCGCAGGCGAGCUGUGGCUGGCGCGGAUCGGACGGAUAUAAAGCUAAAGAUUGUUAGUUUGGCGCGAAAUGCAUGAAAUCGAGUUAUACCUUGAUUUUCUUACAAAUCAGCACACCAUGAUGGA